rnacentral:rRNA from 1 species
UACGUAGGGCGCAAGCGUUGUCCGGAAUUAUUGGGCGUAAAGAGCUCGUAGGCGGCUUGUCACGUCGGGUGUGAAAGCCCGGGGCUUAACCCCGGGUCUGCAUUCGAUACGGGCUAGCUAGAGUGUGGUAGGGGAGAUCGAAUUCCUGGUGUAGCGGUGAAAUGCGCAGAUAUCAGGAGGAACACCGGUGGCGAAGGCGGUUCUCUGGGCAUUACCUGACGCUGAGGAGCGAAAGCCAGGGGAGCGAACGGG